GGUUUAGUGUGAUAAGGAGUCUGAUUGUGAUACCGCAAACACUUCUCCUCAUUUAACCCGCUUAAUACCCCUCCUGGACCCUCGCCCGCGCCGCCUGUCACGCACCGCCAAGAGAGAACAAGCUCCAGCGUACCGGGAGACGCAGAAGGCGCCGCUGGAGACUCCCGCCGGAGAAUUAGAGGAGAAAACAUCGGCAGCAUCGCCAGCACCGUGAGGAACAGAACCAUGAGCAGCCAGGAGACAGCCGGCCGUGGGAGGCACUCGAGAAUUCAGCAUCAACGCAAAGAGUGGUCGUGUCCUGGUCGUUGCAGUCUCACACCUGACGAUUAAGGGGACGAGGACCGGGACAGGUCCAGCCUCCAAUAAUGCAGAAUGGGAGUCAUCCAUCACCACAGCCUCUGCACCAGCAGGGGAAUUCUGGCCAUCCUCACCGCCACCGCCUAAGGGGAGAUACAUGCACAGGAAAUGAACUGCCUCUCUUACUUGCAAGAGGAGAGCCAGUAAGCUUGCCCCAGUUGUACACAAAUGGAGCCCGAGCCCAGCUGGUGGCAGGUGUAACCAGAGUCCCAGUCAUAGUGGUGGAUGUCUCCGUUGAGAAGGUUGUUGCGCGAACGACUAACUCCCUCGAUGACCAGUGCACUCUUGGUCACUAGUGCCACAUUCUCUCGAGGAACUGUGGAGUGGGUCCACUUCUUGCUUGGAGUAAUAUGCCUCAAAGGCUACCACAUGGAACACCCGGUUAACAGUGUUGUUGGUGCCGACAAUGCGAAUGUAGCGGACAACGCGGGGUUGGAAGUAAAGAUACUGCCAAGACCGGCAGUGGUAGCGCGUGUGGUCCACCACCCGCACCCAGUCCUUUUGGUCCAUGGACACCUCGAUGUAGUACGAGUACCCCCUGCCAGAAUAGCAGACUGAUUAUGGUUGUUUAAUAAAAACCUCAAAGUCUACAGAA